rnacentral:lncRNA from 1 species
GCUGUAUAGUGGGGUAGCUAAAACCUUUUUGCGUAAAAGCGUUACCCAUCUAGAAGUAUAUUCUGAUAUCCUCCUUUCUUUUAUUUAGCUCAAGUUAAGUAUUAUCAUUACCUAUCAUCUAGAUUUGCACCUGUACUAUUGCAAACAAGUGUUGUAAUAUGAUAGUACCUUAUCACAACAUUUACAAUUCAUUCAUUACUAUAACCAC